rnacentral:rRNA from 1 species
GAUGAACGCUGGCGGCGUGCCUAAUACAUGCAAGUCGAGCGAACAGACGAGGAGCUUGCUCCUCUGACGUUAGCGGCGGACGGGUGAGUAACACGUGGAUAACCUACCUAUAAGACUGGGAUAACUUCGGGAAACCGGAGCUAAUACCGGAUAAUAUAUUGAACCGCAUGGUUCAAUAGUGAAAGACGGUUUUGCUGUCACUUAUAUAUGGAUCCGCGCCGCAUUAGCUAGUUGGUAAGGUAACGGCUUACCAAGGCAACGAUGCGUAGCCGACCUGAGAGGGUGAUCGGCCACACGGGAACUGAGACACGGUCCAGACUCCUACGGGAGGCAGCAGUAGGGAAUCUUCCGCAAUGGGCGAAAGCCUGACGGAGCAACGCCGCGUGAGUGAUGAAGGUCUUCGGAUCGUAAAACUCUGUUAUUAGGGAAGAACAAAUGUGUAAGUAACUAUGCACGUCUUGACGGUACCUAAUCAGAAAGCCACGGCUAACUACGUG